rnacentral:lncRNA from 1 species
UUCUAUUUUGAUUAUCCCAUUAAGUUAAGUUUAGAUUAUUCCUAAUCUAAUUAGAAUAUUUCUAAUCUUAAUCGUAUUAGGAUUUAGCAACUAUUAUAAAUAUAUCUUUUUUUCUAUUAAUUUGGUGCGGCAGAUGAGGGAGAGAAUAUGGGUGUAUUUUUUGGAUUAGGUUUUUGCGAGAGAUGCAUAUUUGUACACCCACUUUGAUUAUAAUGAAUAUCUCUACUCCGUCUUCGCUCGUGAUGUAGGCUAGUGGCCGAACCACGUAAAUAUUGUGUGCUUUAUUUUUCUUCUCUCUUUCUCGGAUCUCUUUUGGUACUUUCGCACCUGACAAACUUAGAUCUUUUUGGUUUUAGUCGUAAUAAACUAGUAUUAGAACCGGAUUGUUUGUUUGGGUGUUUAAGACAUCGACGAAGUUUGAGAUCGAGAAGUUUGAUUGCUCCAAUAGUUUCACUCUACGACAAGUUGUCAUUCUGAUGUAAUAGAAGUUGCAAAAGGCUUAGUUGGAAAAUGAGAAGAUUGACAUUUCAAUGAAUCUCGCGGAUUUGCUCAUUAAGUUUUUAGGCGAUCAAGUUCAAGUAUCUCGUAAACUUGUUUACAUGUGCAGUAGCAUUUCAUAAGUUAUUGGGAUUUUGGUGGAGAAGACAAAAAAUUCAAGUCAAGAUAGAGAUUGUUAGACAUGUCUCGAAUUCUAGAGCCGUAAGCUUUUCUUACCCUAUUCUAUUUUGAUUAUCCAAUUAAGUUAAAUUUAAACUAUGCCUAAUCUAAUUAAGAUAUUCCUAGUCUUAAUGUAUUUGUAUUCCUAAUUGUACUUAAGAUUUAGCCACUAUUUUAAAUAUACCCUUUAUUCCAUUGAUUUAAUGCGUCGGAUGAGGGAGAGAGUAUUGGUGUACUUUUGGGAUUAGGGUUUUGCGAGAGAGGCAUAUUUUGUAGACCACUUUGAUUAUAAUGAAUAUCUUUACUCCGUCUUUGGCCAUGGCCGAACCACGUAAAUAUUGUGUGCUUUAUUUUUCUUCCCUCUUUUUCGGAUCUCUUUCGGUAUUUUCGCACCCGACGAACUUAGAUCUUUUUGGUUUUAGUCAUAACAUUUAUUAUUUUUCAUUGUCAUAUAUAUAUAUAUAUAUAUAUAUAUAGAGAGAGAGAGAGAGAGAGAGAGAGAGAGAGAGAGAGAGAGAGAGUUGGGCUAGAAUACUAUUGAUAGCAAAAUGACUUUUUUGCUAUUAAGUUUUUAGCCUUUGGAUCAAUUCCUUUUAUCAUUUCUAACCAUUGGAUUAAAUAUUAUAACCCAGUGGGGACAAUUCAACCCUAAGGUACUAAUAUCAUCCUAACCUUACAAUUUUUCAUCCAAGGGUUAAAAAUUUGAUAGCAAAAAA